AUGCAAGCUUCCCAGCAGAGCUGGAUCUUGACCUAUGGAACUGAUCGUUCUUGCAGCAUUUGCAAAUUGUGAGAUAGUUUGAGGCCCUCCUUGACUCAACUUCAGAGGGAGGCUAUAGAAAUCUCAGCCAAGC